rnacentral:rRNA from 1 species
UCGAAAGGGAAACAGCCCAGAUCACCAGUUAAGGUCCCCAAAUCUAUGCUAAGUGGAAAAGGAUGUGGAGUUGCGUAGACAACUAGGAUGUUGGCUCAGAAGCAGCCAUCAUUAAAAGAGUGCGUAAUAGCUCACUAGUCGAGUGACGCUGCGCCGAAAAUUUACCGGGGCUAAGCAUAGUACCGAAACUGUGGAUGUGCAGGAAUGCACGUGGUAGGAGAGCGUUCUAAAUGCGGCGAAGCUUAACUGAGAAGAUAAGUGGAGCGUUUAGAAGUGAGAAUGCCGGUAUGAGUAGCGCAAGACAGGUGAGAAUCCUGUCCGCCGAAAGACUAAGGUUUCCUGGGGCAGGCUCGUCCGCCCAGGGUAAGUCGGGACCUAAGGCAAGGCCGAAAGGCGUAGUCGAUGGACAACAGGUAGAAAUUCCUGUACUGCGCAGCUUCGUUAACAGCGAAGGAGGGACGCAGGAGGCAAAGAACGCAUGGCGCUGGAAGCCAUGUUCAAGCGUUAAGUGCGGCAAUGAGUCAAAUGCUUGUUGCCGAAAAGCACAAGGCGUGAUGAGGAGCGAAAUCAAAGUAGCGAAGGUUCAAGCGUCACACUGCCAAGAAAAGCUUCUAGCGAGAAGCUGCGUACCCGUACCGCAAACCGACACAGGUAGUCGAGUGGAGAACACUCAGGUGAGCGAGAGAACUCUCGUUAAGGAACUCGGCAAAAUCGCCCCGUAACUUCGGGAGAAGGGGUGCUGGUGCAAAAGCCAGCCGCAGUGAAUAGGCCCAAACAACUGUUUAUCAAAAACACAGGUCUCUGCCAAGUCGUAAGACGACGUAUAGGGGCUGACACCUGCCCGGUGCUGGAAGGUUAAGGAGAGCUGUUAGCGCAAGCGAAGCAGCGAACUGAAGCCCCAGUAAACGGCGGCCGUAACUAUAACGGUCCUAAGGUAGCGAAAUUCCUUGUCGGGUAAGUUCCGACCUGCACGAAAGGUGUAAUGAUUUGGGCACUGUCUCAACGAGAGACUCGGUGAAAUUAUAAUACCCGUGAAGAUGCGGGUUACCCGCGACAGGACGGAAAGACCCCAUGGAGCUUUACUGCAAUUUGAUAUUGGGCAGCUGUUAAACAUGUACAGGAUAGGUAGGAGCCGGAGAAGAUAGCACGCCAGUGUUAUCGGAGGCAAUGUUGGGAUACUACCCUUGUUUGAUGGCUGCUCUAACCAGGGCCUCUAAGCGAGGCAUGGGACAGUGUCAGACGGGCAGUUUGACUGGGGCGGUCGCCUCCUAAAGCGUAACGGAGGCGCCCAAAGGUUCCCUCAGAAUGGUUGGAAAUCAUUCACAGAGUGCAAAGGUAUAAGGGAGCUUGACUGCGAGAGCGACAACUCGAGCAGGGACGAAAGUCGGGCUUAGUGAUCUGGUGGUACCGCAUGGAAGGGCCAUCACUCAACGGAUAAAAGCUACCCUGGGGAUAACAGGCUUAUCUCCCCCAAGAGUUCACAUCGACGGGGAGGUUUGGCACCUCGAUGUCGGCUCGUCGCAUCCUGGGGCUGAAGUCGGUCCCAAGGGUUGGGCUGUUCGCCCAUUAAAGCGGCACGCGAGCUGGGUUCAGAACGUCGUGAGACAGUUCGGUCCCUAUCCGUCGUGGGCGUAGGAAAUUUGCGAGGAGCUGUCCUUAGUACGAGAGGACCGGGAUGGACAUACCGCUGGUGUACCAGUUGUCUUGCCAAAGGCAUCGCUGGGUAGCUAAGUAUGGCCGGGAUAAGCGCUGAAAGCAUCUAAGUGCGAAGCCCCCCUCAAGAUGAGAUUUCCCAUACGCAAGUAGUAAGACACCUCAAAGACUAAGAGGUAGAUAGGCUGGGAGUGGAAGAGCCGCGAGGCUUGGAGCGGACCAGUACUAAUCAGUCGAGGACUUGACCAG